CAUCCUGUGAUGCUGCAUGCUGUGUAGUCAAAGGGAAAUGUCUCCUGACUAGCAGAGAGGUCUCUGAGUCCAUGAUGUCUGUGACAGAAACUGUCUUUGGAGAGAUCAGAGAGAAAGAGAAAGAGAAAGGAUUUGAGAGAAAUGGGGGAUGCUGCCUCUCUCUCAAUCAAUCUGAUGUACAAAUCACUCAUUUCUGUGAAAGAUGGUUGUAUAAGAAUCAGUAUCCCCAUUCAACAGAUGAGAAAACUGAGACUUCAAGGGAUUAAGAUUACUUUUAGUCAUAUGGUUAAAGAAUGUUGUAAGCAAGGAAACUGCCUCACUUAAAAAAUUUUAAUAAAAGUAUUUUCCAU
rnacentral:lncRNA from 1 species